AUUGAACGCUGGCGGAAUGCUUUACACAUGCAAGUCGAACUGCAGCACGGGGCAACCUGGUGGCGAGUGGCGAACGGGUGAGUAAUACAUCGGAACGUGCCCAAUCGUGGGGGAUAACGUAGCGAAAGCUACGCUAAUACCGCAUACGAUUUACGGAUGAAAGCGGGGGAUCGCAAGACCUCGCGCGAAUGGAGCGGCCGAUGGCAGAUUAGGUAGUUGGUGGGGUAAAGGCUCACCAAGCCGACGAUCUGUAGCUGGUCUGAGAGGACGACCAGCCACACUGGGACUGAGACACGGCCCAGACUCCUACGGGAGGCAGCAGUGGGGAAUUUUGGACAAUGGGCGCAAGCCUGAUCCAGCCAUUCCGCGUGCAGGAUGAAGGCCUUCGGGUUGUAAACUGCUUUUGUACGGAACGAAAAGGCUCUGGUUAAUACCCGGGGCUCAUGACGGUACCGUAAGAAUACGCACCGGCUAACUACGUGCCAGCCGCCGCAGUAA
rnacentral:rRNA from 1 species